CCUACGGGGCGCUGCAGUCGAGAAUCAUUCACAAUGGGGGAAACCCUGAUGGUGCGACGCCGCGUGGGGGAAUGAAGGUCUUCGGAUUGUAAACCCCUGUCAUGUGGGAGCAAAUUAAAAAGAUAGUACCACAAGAGGAAGAGACGGCUAACUCUGUGCCAGCAGCCGCGGUAAUACAGAGGUCUCAAGCGUUGUUCGGAAUCACUGGGCGUAAAGCGUGCGUAGGCUGUUUCGUAAGUCGUGUGUGAAAGGCGCGGGCUCAACCCGCGGACGGCACAUGAUACUGCGAGACUAGAGUAAGGGAGGGGGAACCGGAAUUCUCGGUGUAGCAGUGAAAUGCGUAGAUAGCGAGAGGAACACUCGUGGCGAAGGCGGGUGCCUGGACAUUAACUGACGCUGAGGCACGAAGGCCAGGGGAGCGAAAGGGAUUAGAUACCCUUGUAGUC
rnacentral:rRNA from 1 species